AAACGCUUGAAGUCAGUCGCGUCUUGUCGGACUCAGCCUGGCCUUGGCCACGGUGUAUUUCCGGCCUGACGGGCCAGCAUCGAUUUCGACCGCCGGAGAAGGGCUGGGGAAAUGUGGCACCUCCGGGUGUGUUAUAGUCCCCAGUCGCACACGGUGGUUGGGAUUGAGGAACUCAGCGCGCCUUUUUGGCCGGGGCUUCGCCCACGUAACGCGCUCAGGAUGCUGGCGUAAUGGCUUUAAGCGA
rnacentral:rRNA from 1 species